CCCCCGCGGGGGUACCCCCCGGCGGGUUAUCCUCCACAAGGUGGUUAUCCGCCGCAGGCUUACCCGCCUCAGUAUGCGCAGCCACCGCCGCAGAAACAGCAGAGUAGCGGGCCUUCAUUCAUGGAGGGAUGCUUGGCGGCACUGUGUUGCUGCUGCCUCUUGGACGCAUGUUUCUGAGAGAGGAAUCUGAGGCAGACGCUGCGGCGACGGGCCGACUGGAAGAUGAUUUGAUCUCCUGGCGAGGCUUAGAUGCUUUUGGCGUUGUUUGCUGAAGAUUCAAAUGUUCACUUCGUAUAUCUUUUUUCUCAUUGUCUUCUUAAAAUUUCUCCCGGAUCUUGUUUUCUAAUUUUAUGUUCUCUAUUUUGCUUGGGUUUGUGCGCAUUAGAAGAAGAAGACAACGUAGAUGAAUGCCUGUUUCUCAUACUCUGCUCUGUAUUGUGAAUUUUUUUUACCUUUGUAACACCUAGGGUUGAACUCAUUUGUUACUUAAAAGUUGAAAACUUCUGUGAAUUUUGAUUUUUA